ensembl:lncRNA
GUUUUUUCUGGAGCAAUAUUUAAUUACUGGCCUGGAAAAUAAAUUCAUGGAGUCAUGCCAUUAAAAGUUGCUCAAGAGUUUCUUAUGAAGGAAGCUGUGGUGGCAAGUCUCAAGUUUGCCAGUGGGCUCCAGGAAAAGUCUGUGACUGUUUGGAUUGCAAAUGCCAGUCAAAUGCAAUGCCUCUUCCUGUGAAAAGAAGCGAAAAUGCCUCUUCCUGUGAAAAUAGGCGGUUCUAGUAAGGCCUGGCUGAAGGCAAAGAAGUCACAUUGCAGCAGUCACACAGCUGCUCAGAAAUUGAGACGGAAAACAUGUGAGAGGGCGAAGCGAAAAAGCCUGAGAGUGAGAGCUACAUCGAGGGAAAGGAAGUGGAAAUGCAUGUGGGUGAGUGUGUUAGGGCUGUGAGGGAGGACCGGCUUACUCUGGUUUGCGCUGCUUUUUCGACUUGUCCCUGUGCCAGGGGGUUACAGAGGGGAUGGCAGCCCUGCCGGCUUCAGCGUGUUGUUGUUUGCCCUUUAAGGAGAAUCAGUGUCUGGGGGAUGAAAUGGCUGUGUGAACAUUGGUCCCCUGCCAGAUUUUUGGAAAACAAGGUGAUUUAGUUACUACUGAAAAUGAGACACUCCUUGCCUUUUGCAGCAUUCAUAUCUACACCAUCGUGCUCAUCAUACACAGCUUAUACGCUCUACAAUACCAAAGUGCUUGAUGAGAUCCAUAAGAUUUUUGUUAAGCGACAGACAUAAACAAAUGACGUCAUGCAAUAUAGCAGAAGGUCAGACUAUCAGAAACACAC